UGCACAAACAGGAGGAUGGACACCGACAGACCUCCGGCCGCCUGCAGCAGCGCGCCCAGCUCUGCAGGGAUCACCAGCUUUCCUCCGAGCUAUAAACUGCAUCUGCAAACACAGAAAUCACACGCUGAACAUUUCCACUUGGAUCCGGACGAUGCUGAAGCACUAAAGAACAAAAGUGUGAAACAUUCUUCUGUCUCUUAAGGAUUCCUGAGGGCGAGGGAAGGUUGCACCUUGAAAGGAAAGGAGGCACGUUGUCCUUUAGGAGCAGACGUCACCCACCUUGAU